UGAAUACGAGACGCUAAGGCGUCGAAGUAGUGUAUGUCAUACUUCCAAGAAAAGCUUGCACUGUCAUAGAUAAAAAACGCCUGUACCAUAACCGACACAGGUGGGUAGGUAGAGUAUACUAAGGGGCGCGAGAUAACUCUCUCUAAGGAACUCGGCAAAAUAACUCCGUAACUUCGGGAGAAGGAGUGCCUUAUUCGUAAGGUUGCAAUAACAAGAUCCAAGCAACUGUUUAUCAAAAACACAGGUCUCCGCUAAGUCGUAAGACGAUGUAUGGGGGCUGACGCCUGCCCAGUGCCAGAAGGUUAAAGAAGUUGGUUAGCAAUUGCGAAGCUGAUAACUGAAGCCCUGGUGAACGGCGGCCGUAACAAUAACGGUCCUAAGGUAGCGAAAUUCCUUGUCGGGUAAGUUCCGACCCGCACGAAAGGCGUAAUGAUUUGGAUACUGUCUCGGAGAGGGGCUCGGUGAAAUAGACUUGUCUGUGAAGAUGCGGACUACCUGCACCAGGACAGAAAGACCCUAUGAAGCUUUACUGUAACUUGAAAUUGAAAUUGGACUUUAUUCGCGCAGUAUAGGUGGGAGGCGUUGAUUAUAAUCUUGUGGGAUUAUUGGAGCCAUCAGUGAGAUACCACUCUUGUAAUGUUAGAUUUCUAACUUUGAAUCAUUAUCUGGUCAAAGAACAGUUUCAGGCGGGCAGUUUGACUGGGGCGGUCGCCUCCUAAACGGUAACGGAGGCGUACAAAGGUUUCCUCUGAACGGUUAGAAAUCGUAUCUAGAGUGUAAAGGCAUAAGGAAGCUUGACUGUGAGACCUACAAGUCGAGCAGGGACGAAAGUCGGUCUUAGUGAUCUGACGGUACUGAGUGGAAAGGCCGUCACUCAACGGAUAAAAGUUACUCUAGGGAUAACAGGCUGAUCUCCCCCAAGAGUUCACAUCGACGGGGAGGUUUGGCACCUCGAUGUCGGCUCAUCGCAUCCUGGGGCGGUAGUACGUCCCAAGGGUUGGGCUGUUCGCCCAUGAAAGCGGUACGCGAGCUGGGUUCAGAACGUCGUGAGACAGUCCGGUCCAUAUCCGGUGUAGGCGUUAGAAUAUUGAGAGGAGCCUUCUUUAGUACGAGAGGACCGAGAAGGACACACCUCUGGUGUACCAGUUAUCGUGCCAACGGUAAACGCUGGGUAGCUAUGUAUGGAGUGGAUAACCGCUGAAAGCAUCUAAGUGGGAAGCCCACCUCAAGAUAAGUAUUCUCAUC
rnacentral:rRNA from 1 species